GCUAUUCUUAAGAUUGUGCUAUUUUUUGGAAUGAUACAGAGAAGAUUAGCAUGGCCCCUGCACAAGGAUGACCCGCAAAUUUGUCAAGUGUUCCACAUUAAA
rnacentral:snRNA from 1 species